UGUUCCCUCCUCCUGGACCCUCCCUGUGCCUGGAGGCAGCAAAGGAGCACUGUGGAAGCCUAUAAACCUUGCUAAUCCCUGAAGAUGCUGUUGGGUGCAUGACUGUCUGUCCCGGCCUGAGUUUCCCCAUCUAAGCCAUUCCUUCCCAGGGCUCAAGGGUAUCCGGAAUUAUAGCUGGCCGGGAGGACCUGCACUCUCUGGGACCAGUGACCAGCCCUCCCAGGUGAGGAAGCUGAGGCCCCACAAGGGUGAACAACUGCCUGGAGUCACCGAGCUCACGAAGAUCAAGAAAGCUGCCACAAGCCCACAGGCUUCUAGCUGGGACUUCGUUGCCCUCUCAGGACUU